UACGAAGGGGGCUAGCGUUGCUCGGAAUCACUGGGCGUAAAGGGUGCGUAGGCGGGUCUUUAAGUCAGGGGUGAAAUCCUGGAGCUCAACUCCAGAACUGCCUUUGAUACUGGAGAUCUUGAGUUCGGGAGAGGUGAGUGGAACUGCGAGUGUAGAGGUGAAAUUCGUAGAUAUUGCAAGAACACCAGUGGCGAAGGCGGCUCACUGGCCCGAUACUGACGCUGAG
rnacentral:rRNA from 1 species